rnacentral:rRNA from 1 species
GAUGAACGCUAGCGGCAGGCCUAACACAUGCAAGUCGAGGGGUAACGUGAGUGCUUGCACUUGACGACGACCGGCGCACGGGUGCGGAACGCGUAUGGAACCUACCUUUAUCAGGGGGAUAGCCCAUGGAAACGUGGAUUAAUACCCCAUAGUAUUAUUUCAUUGCAUGAUGAUAUAAUUAAAGAAUUUCGGAUAGAGAUGGCCAUGCGUAUCAUUAGCUAGUAGGCGAGGUAACGGCUCACCUAGGCGACGAUGAUUAGGGGUCCUGAGAGGGAGAUCCCCCACACUGGUACUGAGACACGGACCAGACUCCUACGGGAGGCAGCAGUGAGGAAUAUUGGGCAAUGGAGGCAACUCUGACCCAGCCAUGCCGCGUGCAGGAAGACGGCCCUAUGGGUUGUAAACUGCUUUUAUACAGGAAGAACACCACCCACGUGUGGGUGACUGACGGUACUGUAAGAAUAAGGACCGGCUAACUCCGUGCCAACG